UACGAAGGGGGCUAGCGUUGCUCGGAAUCACUGGGCGUAAAGCGCACGUAGGCGGACUCUUAAGUCGGUGGUGAAAGCCCCGGGCUUAACCUGGGAAUGGCCGUUGAAACUGGCGAACUGGAGUGUGGCAGAGGGGGGUGGAAUUCCGCGUGUAGCAGUGAAAUGCGUAGAGAUGCGGAGGAACACCGAUGGCGAAGGCAGCCCCCUGGGCUAACACUGACGCUCAGGCACGAAAGCGUGGGGAGCAAACAGG
rnacentral:rRNA from 1 species